rnacentral:rRNA from 1 species
GGAGUAAUACAUCGGAACGUGUCUUCUAGUGGGGGAUAACUGCCCGAAAGGGCAGCUAAUACCGCAUGAGACCUGAGGGUGAAAGCGGGGGAGUCGCAAGACCUCGCGCUGGAAGAGCGGCCGAUGUCCGAUUAGCUAGUUGGUGAGGUAAAGGCUCACCAAGGCGACGAUCGGUAGCUGGUCUGAGAGGACGACCAGCCACACUGGGACUGAGACACGGCCCAG